AUACUGUUAAUCAUAUGCAAAUUAAUUUGCUAGCAUUCUCAAUCGCAUAAACACUUUAUCAUAGAUAGAACAAGACAAACAAACACAUUGACAAUAAAGUAAAAACCCCAUCAACAAGCAUUUUGAGCCUUUGACAAUGGAAAACAUUUUGGUUAAUUAGCUGCUUCUAUUAAUGGUUAUCGAACCAUGCCAACCUUCCAAUUUUCAUUUUUCCCUUUACUAAGAGCAAAUUUG
rnacentral:misc_RNA from 1 species